GUGGGGAAUAUUGGACAAUGGGGGGAACCCUGAUCCAGCCAUGCCGCGUGUGUGAAGAAGGCCUUUUGGUUGUAAAGCACUUUAAGUGGGGAGGAGGCUUACCUGGUUAAUACCUGGGCUAAGUGGACGUUACCCACAGAAUAAGCACCGGCUAACUCUGUGCCAGCAGCCGCGGUAAUACAGAGGGUGCAAGCGUUAAUCGGAUUUACUGGGCGUAAAGCGCGCGUAGGUGGCCAAUUAAGUCAAAUGUGAAAUCCCCGAGCUUAACUUGGGAAUUGCAUUCGAUACUGGUUGGCUAGAGUAUGGGAGAGGAUGGGAGAAUUCCAGGUGUAGCGGUGAAAUGCGUAGAGAUCUGGAGGAAUACCGAUGGCGAAGGCAGCCAUCUGGCCUAAUACUGACACUGAGGUGCGAAAGCAUGGGGAGCAAACAGGAUUAGAAACCCCGGUAGUCC
rnacentral:rRNA from 1 species